AUUGAACGCUGGCGGCAGGCCUAACACAUGCAAGUCGAGCGGCAGCGGGACCUUCGGGUUGCCGGCGAGCGGCGGACGGGUGAGUAAUGCCUAGGAAUCUGCCUGUUAGUGGGGGAUAACGCGGGGAAACUCGCGCUAAUACCGCAUACGUCCUACGGGAGAAAGCGGGGGCUCUUCGGACCUCGCGCUAACAGAUGAGCCGAGGUCGGAUUAGCUAGUUGGUGGGGUAAUGGCCCACCAAGGCGACGAUCCGUAACUGGUCUGAGAGGAUGAUCAGUCACACUGGAACUGAGACACGGUCCAGACUCCUACGGGAGGCAGCAGUGGGGAAUAUUGGACAAUGGGCGAAAGCCUGAUCCAGCCAUGCCGCGUGUGUGAAGAAGGUCUUCGGAUUGUAAAGCACUUUAAGUCGGGAGGAAGGACUGUAGGCUAAUACCUUGCAGUUUUGACGUUACCGACAGAAUAAGCACCGGCUAACUUCGUGCCAGCCGCCGCCGUAAAAC
rnacentral:rRNA from 1 species